rnacentral:rRNA from 1 species
UGGGGAAUAUUGCACAAUGGGCGCAAGCCUGAUGCAGCCGUGCCGCGUGUGUGAAGAAGGCCUUCGGGUUGUAAAGCACUUUCAGCGAGGAGGAAGGUGGUGAGCUUAAUACGCUCAUCAAUUGACGUUACUCGCAGAAGAAGCACCGGCUAACUCCGUGCCAGCAGCCGCGGUAAUACGGAGGGUGCAAGCGUUAAUCGGAAUUACUGGGCGUAAAUCGCACGCAGGCGGUUUGUUAAGUCAGAUGUGAAAUCCCCGGGCUCAACCUGGGAACUGCAUUUGAAACUGGCAAGCUAGAGUCUCGUAGAGGGGGGUAGAAUUCCAGGUGUAGCGGUGAAAUGCGUAGAGAUCUGGAGGAAUACCGGUGGCGAAGGCGGCCCCCCUGGACGAAGACUGACGCUCAGGUGCGAAAGCGUGGGGAGCAAACAGGAUUAGAUACCCCUGGUAGUCCACGCUGUAAAACGAUGUCGAUUUUGGAGGUUGUGCCCUUGAGGCGUGGCUUCCGGAGCUAACGCGUUAAAUCGACCGCCU